rnacentral:rRNA from 1 species
AACGAACGCUGGCGGCGUGCCUAACACAUGCAAGUCGAGCGAGAAAGCCCGCAAGGGUGAGUAAAGCGGCGCACGGGUGCGUAACACGUGGGUAAUCUGCCCUAGAGUCCGGAAUAACUCGCCGAAAGGCGUGCUAAUGCCGGAUGAGACCACGGGAGCCUCGGCUCCUGCGGGAAAAGGUGGCCUCUGUAUACAAGCUAUCGCUCUAGGAUGAGCCCGCGGCCCAUCAGCUAGUUGGCGGGGUAAUGGCCCACCAAGGCUACGACGGGUAGCUGGUAUGAGAGGACGAUCAGCCACACUGGAACUGGGACACGGUCCAGACUCCUACGGGAGGCAGCAGUGGGGAACCUUGCGCAAUGGGCGAAAGCCUGACGCAGCAACGCCGCGUGUGUGAUGAAGGUCUUCGGGUCGUAAAGCACUGUCGCGAGGGACGAAUAAGGGGCGGGCUAACACUCCGUUCCGAUGACGGUACCUCGAGAGGAAGCACCGGCUAACUCUGUGCCAGCAGCCGCGGUAAGAC